rnacentral:misc_RNA from 1 species
UUUCCGUUGGUGAACCAGCGGAGGGAUCAUUACCGAGUUUACAACUCCCAAACCCAAUGUUAACCAUACCAAACUGUUGCCUCGGCGGGGUCACGCCCCGGGUGCGUCGCAGCCCCGGAACCAGGCGCCCGCCGGAGGGACCAACCAAACUCUUUCUGUAGUCCCCUCGCGGACGUUAUUUUUACAGCUCUGAGCAAAAAUUAAAAAUAAAUCAAAACUUUCAACAACGGACCUCUUGGUUCUG